rnacentral:rRNA from 1 species
AUUGAACGCUGGCGGCAGGCCUAACACAUGCAAGUCGAACGGUAACAGGAAGACGCUUGCUUCUUUGCUGACGAGUGGCGGACGGGUGAGUAAUGUCUGGGAAACUGCCUGAUGGAGGGGGAUAACUACUGGAAACGGUAGCUAAUACCGCAUAACGUCGCAAGACCAAAAAGGGGGACCUUCGGGCCUCUUGCCAUCGGAUGUGCCCAGAUGGGAUUAGCUAGUAGGUGGGGUAACGGCUCACCUAGGCGACGAUCCCUAGCUGGUCUGAGAGGAUGACCAGCCACACUGGAACUGAGACACGGUCCAGACUCCUACGGGAGGCAGCAGUGGGGAAUAUUGCACAAUGGGCGCAAGCCUGAUGCAGCCAUGCCGCGUGUAUGAAGAAGGCCUUCGGGUUGUAAAGUACUUUCAGCGGGGAGGAAGGGAGUAAAGUUAAUACCGUUGCUCAUUGACGUUACCCGCAGAAGAAGCACCGGCUAACUCCGUG